rnacentral:rRNA from 1 species
UGGUGCAGCAGCUAUUAAUGUGUUCGUUUGUUCAACGAUUAAAGUCCUACGUGAUCUGAGUUCAGACCGGAGCAAUCCAGGUCGGUUUCUAUCUAUUUAUAAGUCCCUCCCAGUACGAAAGGACAAGAGAGACAGGGCCCACUUAAAAUAAGCGCCCUAACAACGAUGGAUGAACUAAUAUUAAUCCUAUAUACUUAUAAACUGCCCGAGAAAAGGGCCUA